rnacentral:tRNA from 1 species
GGAUUGUGGCUCAGCGGUAGAGCUCUUGCCUUGUAUGUGUGAGGCACUGGGUUCAUGUCUCAGCACCA